GGGGGUGACAUUGGAUUUGACUUUUUGUAAGAAGAAUGAGCGUAAGCGUGUCGUGGUAGAGCGUCAAUCUUAAAACACAAACAAUCGGAAACGAUACAAAAUUAGGUUCAAUCCUAAACGAAAACAUUCUUUCGAAUGGUACUGUAGGUACAAUUGCGAAAGAAGAGGUAGUGUUCGCCUAAUAGAGUAACACACAUAGGUUAAUCAAAGUUCCUUAAUACUUGACAAGUGGUUGGGAGUGACUUUGCUUGUAAAAGACAGUUGGAACUUUAUAUUUUUGGAAAUGUAAGAAAACAUUUAUCCUACACACGUAGAAUUCCAUUUGGAUACGGAAAGGACGAGGGUUCGAGCCCCUCCACCUCCACCA
rnacentral:tmRNA from 1 species